rnacentral:rRNA from 1 species
GAUGAACGCUAGCGGCAGGCUUAAUACAUGCAAGUCGAGGGGCAGCAUGAGUGUAGCAAUACAUUUGAUGGCGACCGGCAAACGGGUGCGGAACACGUACUGAACCUUCCUUUAAGUGGGGAAUAGCCCAGGGAAACUUGGAUUAAUACCCCGUAACAUAAUGAAGUGGCAUCACUUUAUUAUUAUAGCUCCGGCGCUUAAAGAUGGCAGUGCGGCUGAUUAGGUAGUUGGCGGGGUAACGGCCCACCAAGCCUGCGAUCAGUAACUGGUGUGAGAGCACGACCAGUCACACGGGCACUGAGACACGGGCCCGACUCCUACGGGAGGCAGCAGUAAGGAAUAUUGGGCAAUGGACGCAAGUCUGACCCAGCCAUGCCGCGUGGAGGAUGAAGGUCCUCUGGAUUGUAAACUUCUCUUAUAUGGGACGAAAAAGGGUCUUUCUAGAUCAACUGACGGUACCAUAUGAAUAAGCACCGGCUAACUCCGUGCCAGCCGCCGCGGUAACAC